UGGAAGUAAAAAAUCGUAACAAGGUCUCCGUUGGUGAACCAGCGGAGGGAUCAUUACAGAGUUGCAAAACUCCCUAAACCAUUGUGAACGUUACCUAUACCGUUGCUUCGGCGGGCGGCCCCGGGGUUUACCCCCCGGGCGCCCCUGGGCCCCACCGCGGGCGCCCGCCGGAGGUCACCAAACUCUUGAUAAUUUAUGGCCUCUCUGAGUCUUCUGUACUGAAUAAGUCAAAACUUUCAACAACGGAUCUCUUGGUUCUGGCAUCGAUGAAGAACGCAGCGAAAUGCGAUAAGUAAUGUGAAUUGCAGAAUUCAGUGAAUCAUCGAAUCUUUGAACGCACAUUGCGCCCGCCAGCAUUCUGGCGGGCAUGCCUGUUCGAGCGUCAUUUCAACCAUCAAGCCCCCGGGCUUGUGUUGGGGACCUGCGGCUGCCGCAGGCCCUGAAAAGCAGUGGCGGGCUCGCUGUCGCACCGAGCGUAGUAGCAUACAUCUCGCUCUGGUCGCGCCGCGGGUUCCGGCCGUUAAACCACCUUUUUAACCCAAGGUUGACCUCGGAUCAGGUAGGAAGACCCGCUGAACUUAAGCAUAUCAAAAGCCCGGAGGAA
rnacentral:rRNA from 1 species